rnacentral:rRNA from 1 species
AAUGAACGCUGGCGGCGCGCCUAAUACGUGCAAGUCGAGCGAGAAGACGUAGCAAUACGUUUGUAAAGCGGCGAACGGGUGAGGAAUACAUGGGUAACCUACCCUAGAGUGGGGAAUAACUAGCCGAAAGGUUAGCUAGUACCGCGUACGCUCCUUGGACUUCGGUUCAGGGAGGAAAGCGAUGCCGAGGGUAUCGCGCUCUUGGAUGGGCUCAUGUCCUAUCAGCUUGUUGGGAGGUAACGGCUCACCAAGGCUUCGACGGGUAGCUGGUCUGAGAGGACGAUCAGCCACACUGGCACUGCGACACGGGCCAGACUCCUACGGGAGGCAGCAGUAAGGAAUAUUGCGCAAUGGGCGAAAGCCUGACGCAGCGACGCCGC